rnacentral:tRNA from 1 species
GCCUCGGUGUAGUGGUCAAGACGCUUGUUUGGUAAUCAGGAGUGCGUAGGUUCAAUUCUAACCGAGGCG